UACGUAGGGGGCAAGCGUUGUCCGGAUUUACUGGGCGUAAAGAGCUCGUAGGCGGUUCGGCAAGUCGGGUGUGAAAUUUCGAGGCUCAACCUCGAAACGCCACUCGAUACUGCUGUGACUGGAGUCCGGUAGAGGAGUGCGGAAUUCCUGGUGUAGCGGUGAAAUGCGCAGAUAUCAGGAGGAACACCAACGGCGAAGGCAGCACUCUGGGCCGGUACUGACGCUGAGGAGCGAAAGCGUGGGGAGCAAACAGG
rnacentral:rRNA from 1 species